rnacentral:lncRNA from 1 species
AUGAAACCUCUCCGGGAGCAGCGGCGUGCCCGGGUACCCUUGUUCGGAGAUCCCGGCGGCGAGAUUCCCGGCUGGACACACACCAGGAAUGAAGGCAUCUCCCCACAGCUGGAAAAUUCCAGCCUGGGAUUGGGAUGUCGCUCCCCUGGAAGGUGUCCGGACCAAGGUGUGGGGGGAUGCAGGGACAGGGGCUCCCCAUCAGGAGCGGAAUCGGUCCUGGCACUGAGCAGGGAUGAAGUUCGGGGUCGCGGGGCAGAGCUGCCGGUCGCGGGGCAGAACACCCCUCCAGCGCCAAGCGCGGCCGGACCGCAAGGUCACCGCUGUAUCCCCGCCGCUGCUCCCACCCCCAAAGCCCCGGUGCCCGAGCGCGGGGUCUCCAGCUUACCUGGCGAGAUGGGCCGGUCACGGCGGAGACGCCGGGGCGCCGGGCGCGGGGCGGCAGCGCACCGGGGGCUGCCGGGGAAGCAUCGCCGGCCGCCGGGCGGAGGCGCGUCCUCCCUGCGCCCUGCGAGCGGUACCGGCACCGGGACCGGCCCGUCGGCGCUGCCGGCGGAUGGCGGCGCCCGCCUUCAGACGGCGCCGGCGAUGCGGCUACGCGCGGCGCGGAGCCGAUUUAAGGCCACCCCGUGCCGGGGGUGGGGGGAGCGCCGAGGGCCGCCCGCAGCGGCUCCUGCGCGCCGCGCAUCCCGCGGGGCCACCUUAAGCGGGGAAGGGGCGAGCGCGGAGCCAGCGAGGGGGGAAGGAGCGGCGAGGCGGCGACCCGGGCCGGGAACAGCGGGAAAGGCGAGCGGGGCCGGGCACGGCCGCAGCGCUGCCCCCGCCGCCCUCGAAGGGGGAGGGUUCCCUGCCCCGGCCGGCCGCUGCUCUUCCCGCCGAAGGCGAGGGGCGGGAUGGUUGUGCCGUGCCGAGGAUCUCUCUUUGCCGCUGACUGGUGCUGGGGUGAUUUCCCGCUCCGGCUGCCUCAUGAAAGAGCCACCUGCGAUAGCUACAACCCGUGCGGGUUGGCUAUCUAUAGGGCAGUCACAGCCCGAACCCAGCGGCCACAAUGCUUCUGGAAUUUGGUCCCUCACUUGCUGCUUGAUGCGCGCAUCCCCACUGCGUGCCUCAGUUUCCCUGAUGUGGGAUGAUGGUGAUGUCGGUGCGACUGCUUCCCACUGCGGCAGCCGCUGGGCCAUUCCUUGCUCUGGCCACAUGAACAGCCACAGCCAAUGCCUUGUCUGGCGGCCUCUGCCUCGGAGCAGGUUAAAUGGGAGCAGAAGACCAGCCCUGUUUCUAUUUUCCCCUACCUACCUCCCUUAG